CGGACGGGUGAGGAAUACAUCGGAAUCUACUCUGUCGUGGGGGAGUAACGUAGGGAGACUUACGCUAAUACCGCAUACGACCUACGGUGAAAGCAGGGAUCUUCGGACCUUGCGCGAUUGAAUGAGCCGAUGUCGGAUUAGCUAGUUGGCGGGGUAAAGGCCCACCAAGGCGACGAUCCGUAGCUGGUCUGAGAGGAUGAUCAGCCACACUGGAACUGAGACACGGUCCAGACUCCUACGGGAGGCAGCAGCC
rnacentral:rRNA from 1 species